CCUACGGGUGGCAGCAGUGAGGAAUAUUGGUCAAUGGCCGGAAGGCUGAACCAGCCAAGUCGCGUGAGGGACGACUGCCCUAUGGGUUGUAAACCUCUUUUAUAAGGGAAGAAUAAAUGCUACGUGUAGCAUGAUGCCUGUACCUUAUGAAUAAGCAUCGGCUAACUCCGUGCCAGCAGCCGCGGUAAUACGGAGGAUGCGAUCGUUAUCCGGAUUCAUUGGGUUUAAAGGGUGCGCAGGCGGGCCUUUAAGCCGGCGGUGAAAUCGCGGGGCUCAACCCCGCCGAGCCGUCGGAACUGGGGGCCUUGAGUGCGGCGGAGGCAUGCGGAAUGCGCGGUGUAGCGGUGAAAUGCAUAGAUAUCGCGCAGAACCCCGAUUGCGAAGGCAGCGUGCCGUGCCGCCACUGACGCUGAGGCACGAAAGCGCGGGGAUCGAACAGGAUUAGAUACCCGAGUAGUC
rnacentral:rRNA from 1 species